rnacentral:rRNA from 1 species
CAACCUGCCCUUCAGAGGGGGACAACAGUUGGAAACGACUGCUAAUACCGCAUACGAUCUAAUCUCGGCAUCGAGGAUAGAUGAAAGGUGGCCUCUACAUGUAAGCUAUCACUGAAGGAGGGGAUUGCGUCUGAUUAGCUAGUUGGAGGGGUAACGGCCCACCUAGUCAACGAUGGAUAGGGGCUCUGAGAGGAAGGUCCCCCACAUUGGAACUGAGACACGGUCCAA